rnacentral:rRNA from 1 species
GACGAACGCUGGCGGCGUGCUUAACACAUGCAAGUCGAACGGAAAGGCCCUGCUUUUGUGGGGUGCUCGAGUGGCGAACGGGUGAGUAACACGUGAGUAACCUGCCCUUGACUUUGGGAUAACUUCAGGAAACUGGGGCUAAUACCGGAUAGGAGCUCCUGCUGCAUGGUGGGGGUUGGAAAGUUUCGGCGGUUGGGGAUGGACUCGCGGCUUAUCAGCUUGUUGGUGGGGUAGUGGCUUACCAAGGCUUCGACGGGUAGCCGGCCUGAGAGGGUGACCGGCCACACUGGGACUGAGAUACGGCCCAGACUCCUACGGGAGGCAGCAGUGGGGAAUAUUGCACAAUGGGCGGAAGCCUGAUGCAGCAACGCCGCGUGCGGGAUGACGGCCUUCGGGUUGUAAACCGCUUUCGCCUGUGACGAAGCGUGAGUGACGGUAAUGGGUAAAGAAGCACCGGCUAACUACGUG